rnacentral:rRNA from 1 species
AGUGAACGCUGGCGGUAGGCCUAACACAUGCAAGUCGAACGGCAGCACAGUAAGAGCUUGCUCUUACGGGUGGCGAGUGGCGGACGGGUGAGGAAUACAUCGGAAUCUACUUUUUCGUGGGGGAUAACGUAGGGAAACUUACGCUAAUACCGCAUACGACCUACGGGUGAAAGCAGGGGAUCUUCGGACCUUGCGCGAUUGAAUGAGCCGAUGUCGGAUUAGCUAGUUGGCGGGGUAAAGGCCCACCAAGGCGACGAUCCGUAGCUGGUCUGAGAGGAUGAUUAGCCACACUGGAACUUGGACCCGGUCCAGACUCCUACGGGAGGCAGCAGUGGGGAAUAUUGGACAAUGGGCGCAAGCCUGAUCCAGCCAUACCGCGUGGGUGAAGAAGGCCUUCGGGUUGUAAAGCCCUUUUGUUGGGAAAGAAAAGCAGCAGGUUAAUACCCCGCUGUUCUGACGGUACCCAAAGAAUAAGCACCGGCUAACUUCGUG